rnacentral:rRNA from 1 species
AUUGAACGCUGGCGGCAGGCUUAACACAUGCAAGUCGAGCGGGGGAGGUUGCUUCGGUAACUGACCUAGCGGCGGACGGGUGAGUAAUGCUUAGGAAUCUGCCUAUUAGUGGGGGACAACAUCUCGAAAGGGAUGCUAAUACCGCAUACGUCCUACGGGAGAAAGCAGGGGACCUUUGGGCCUUGCGCUAAUAGAUGAGCCUAAGUCGGAUUAGCUAGUUGGUGGGGUAAAGGCCUACCAAGGCGACGAUCUGUAGCGGGUCUGAGAGGAUGAUCCGCCACACUGGGACUGAGACACGGCCCAGACUCCUACGGGAGGCAGCAGUGGGGAAUAUUGGACAAUGGGGGGAACCCUGAUCCAGCCAUGCCGCGUGUGUGAAGAAGGCCUUUUGGUUGUAAAGCACUUUAAGCGAGGAGGAGGCUACUGGUAUUAAUACUACCGGAUAGUGGACGUUACUCGCAGAAUAAGCACCGGCUAACUCUGUGCCAGCAGCCGCAGUAACAC